AAUGAACGCUGGCGGCGUGCUUAACACAUGCAAGUCGAGCGAGAAAGCUCCUUCGGGAGCGAGUAAAGCGGCGGACGGGUGAGUAACGCGUAAGAAUCUGCCCUUCAGUGAAGAAUACCCUCGAGAAAUCGGGGUUAAUGCUGCAUACGUCCCUUCGGGGAGAAAGAUGGCCUCUUUGCUGUCGCUGAAGGAUGAGCUUGCGUACUAUUAGCUUGUUGGUGGGGUAAAAGCCUACCAAGGCGAUGAUGGUUAGCCGGCCUGAGAGGGUGUACGGCCACAUUGGGACUGAGACACGGCCCAG
rnacentral:rRNA from 1 species